rnacentral:rRNA from 1 species
AGUGAACGCUGGCGGUAGGCCUAACACAUGCAAGUCGAACGGCAGCACAGUAAGAGCUUGCUCUUACGGGUGGCGAGUGGCGGACGGGUGAGGAAUACAUCGGCAUCUACUUUUUCGUGGGGGAUAACGUAGGGAAACUUACGCUAAUACCGCAUACGACCUACGGGUGAAAGCAGGGGAUCUUCGGACCUUGCGCGAUUGAGUGAGCCGAUGUCGGAUUAGCUAGUUGGCGGGGUAAAGGCCCACCAAGGCGACGAUCCGUAGCUGGUCUGAGAGGAUGAUCAGCCACACUGGGACUGAGACACGGUCCAGACUCCUACGGGAGGCAGCAGUGGGGAAUAUUGGACAAUGGGCGCAAGCCUGAUCCAGCCAUACCGCGUGGGUGAAGAAGGCCUUCGGGUUGUAAAGCCCUUUUGUUGUGAAAGAAAAGCAGCAGGUUAAUACCCCGCUGUUCUGACGGUACCCAAAGAAUAAGCACCGGCUAACUUCGUG